GACGAACGCUGGCGGCGUGCUUAACACAUGCAAGUCGAACGGAAAGGCCCUGCUUUUGUGGGGUGCUCGAGUGGCGAACGGGUGAGUAACACGUGAGUAACCUGCCCUUGACUUUAGGAUAACUUCAGGAAACUGGGGCUAAUACCGGAUAGGAGCUCCUGCUGCAUGGUGGGGGUUGGAAAGUUUCGGCGGUUGGGGAUGGACUCGCGGCUUAUCAGUUUGUUGGUGGGGUAGUGGCUUACCAAGGCUUUGACGGGUAGCCGGCCUGAGAGGGUGACCGGCCACAUUGGGACUGAGAUACGGCCCAGACUCCUACGGGAGGCAGCAGUGGGGAAUAUUGCACAAUGGGCGGAAGCCUGAUGCAGCAACGCCGCGUGCGGGAUGACGGCCUUCGGGUUGUAAACCGCUUUCGCCUGUGACGAAGCGUGAGUGACGGUAAUGGGUAAAGAAGCACCGGCUAACUACGUG
rnacentral:rRNA from 1 species